rnacentral:rRNA from 1 species
CCAAUAGCGUAUAUUAAAGUUGUUGCAGUUAAAAAGCUCGUAGUUGAAUUUCGGGGUCAGUAGGUUGGUCGUGCCACCGGUACGUACUGGUCUCACUGAUUCCUCCUUCCUGAUGAGCUGUAAUGCCAUUAAUUUGGUGUUGCUGGGAAGCUGGACUGUUACUUUGAAAAAAUUAGAGUGUUUAAAGCAGGCUAACGCUUGAAUACAUUAGCAUGGAAUAAUGAAAUAGGACGUUCGAUUCUAUUUUGUUGGUUUCUAGGAUUGACGUAAUGAUUAAUAGGGAUAGUUGGGGGCAUUAGUAUUCAAUUGUCAGAGGUGAAAUUCUUGGAUUUAUUGAAGACUAACUACUGCGAAAGCAUUUGCCAAGGAUGUUUUCAUUAAUCAAGAACGAAAGUUAGGGGAUCGAAGACGAUCAGAUACCGUCGUAGUCUUAACCAUAAACUAUGCCGACUAGGAAUCGGAUGAUGUUAAUUUUUUAAUGACUCAUUCGGCGCCUUACG